GAGCAAUCCUGGCGGCGAGUGGCGAACGGGUGAGUAAUACAUCGGAACAUGUCCAGUAGUGGGGGAUAGCCCGGCGAAAGCCGGAUUAAUACCGCAUACGAUCUAUGGAUGAAAGCGGGGGAUCGCAAGACCUCGCGCUAUUGGGGUGGCCGAUGGCGGAUUAGCUAGUUGGUGGGGUAAAGGCCCACCAAGGCGACGAUCCGUAGCUGGUCUGAGAGGACGACCAGCCACACUGGGACUGAGACACGGCCCAGACUCCUACGGGAGGCAGCAGUGGGGAAUUUUGGACAAUGGGCGCAAGCCUGAUCCAGCAAUGCCGCGUGUGUGAAGAAGGCCUUCGGGUUGUAAAGCACUUUUGUCCGGAAAGAAAUCCUGAUGGCUAAUAUCCGUCGGGGAUGACGGUACCGGAAGAAUAAGCACCGGCUAACUACGUGCCAGCAGCCGCGGUAAUACGUAGGGUGCGAGCGUUAAUCGGAAUUACUGGGCGUAAAGCGUGCGCAGGCGGUGAUGUAAGACCGAUGUGAAAUCCCCGGGCUUAACCUGGGAACUGCAUUGGUGACUGCAUCGCUGGAGUAUGGCAGAGGGGGGUAGAAUUCCACGUGUAGCAGUGAAAUGCGUAGAGAUGUGGAGGAAUACCGAUGGCGAAGGCAGCCCCCUGGGCCAAUACUGACGCUCAUGCACGAAAGCGUGGGGAGCAAACGGAUUAGAUACCCUGGUAGUCCACGCCCUAAAACGAUGUCAACUGGUUGUCGGGCCUUCAUUGGCUUGGUAACGUAGCUAACGCGUGAAGUUGACCGCCUGGGAGUACGGUCGCAAGAUUAAAACUCAAAGGAAUUGACCGGGACCCGCACAACGGUGGAUGAUGUGGAUUAAUUCGAUGCAACGCGAAAAACCUUACCUACCCUUUGACUUGUACCGAAGUCCCUGUGAAGAGGUGGAUGUGCCCGAAAGGAGACGUAACACAAGGUUCCUGGAAUGCUGUCCUCAAACUCGCUGUUCGUUG
rnacentral:rRNA from 1 species